rnacentral:tRNA from 1 species
AGCCCCGUAGUCUAGCGGUCAAGGAUAGCAGACUUUGGAUCUGUUGACGGCAGUUCAAAUCUGCCCGGGGCUA